AGGUAAAUUGAGGUAGAGUGAGGUAGAAUAAGAUAUAGUGAGUUAGAAUAGGAUAUAGUGAGGUAGAGUGAGGUUUUGGGAGGUAUUGCAAUUGCAUUGAUUAAGGAAGAGUUUGCUAGAGUGAGAUAGAGUGAGUUACAGUGAGGUUGAGUAGUGCAGAAUAAGGUGAAGUGAGGCAGAGUGAGUUAGAGUGAGUUAGAGUGAAUUGGGGGGCAGAGGGAGGUAGAAUGAGAGAGUGAGAGAGCAAGGUAGAGUGAGGUAGGGGAUGCAGAGCGAUGUAGAAUAUGGUAGAGUGAGGUAGAGUGCAGUUUUGGGAGGUAUUGCAAAGUACAUUGAGGUAGAGUGAGGUAGAGCAAGGUACAAUGAGACAGAGCAAGGCAGUAAAAGGCAAAGUGAGGUAAAAGAUUGAGGUAGAGUGUGAUAGAGCGAGAUAGAGGAAGUUACAGUGAGGUAGAGCAAGGUAGAGUGAGGCAGAGCAUAGUAGAGUGAGACAGAGCAAGGUAGAGUGAGACAGAAAAAGGUAGAGUGAGACAGAGCAAGGUAGAGUGAGACAGAAAAAGGUAGAGUGAGACAGAGCAUAGUAGAGUGAGACAGAGCAUAAUAGAGUGAGACAGAGCAAGGUAGAGUGAGACAGAGCAUAGUAGAGUGAAACAGAGCAAGGUAGAGUGAGACAGAGCAUAGUAGAGUGAAACAGAGCAAGGUAGAGUGAGACAGAGCAUAGUAGAGUGAGACAGAGCAAGGUAGUGUGAGACAGAGCAUAGUAGAGUGAGACAGAGCAAGGUAGUGUGAGACAGAGCAUAGUAGAGUGAGACAGAGCAAGGUAGAGUGAGACAGAAAAAGGUAGAGUGAGACAGAGCAUAGUAGAGUGAGACAGAGCAAGUUAGAGUGAGACAGAGCAAGGUAGAGUGAGACAGAGCAAGGUAGAGUGAGGCAGAGCAUAGUAGAGUGAGGUAGAGUGAGACAGAGCAAGUUAGAGUGAGACAGAGCAAGGUAGAGUGAGACAGAGCAAGGUAGAGUGAGGCAGAGCAUAGUAGAGUGAGGUAGAGUGAGACAGAGCAAGUUAGAGUGAGACAGAGCAAGGUAGAGUGAGACAGAGCAAGGUAGAGUGAGACAGAGCAA